CUCCUCUUAAACUUCUUUUCUGCUCAUUCAGCCAGAAUUGGCUUAUGUCCUCUGCAAAUGGGAGCCCCGACCGAUCUACAUGUCUUCAUUGGUGUGACUACCUGUGAGGGACCAGCCAAGAAGAAUGUCAAGACCUUCCUGGAGCUAUCUGUAGGGCAGGCAGUGGGAGCAGAGGGAACAGCGCUGCUGGCAAUCGACAUACGCAACACUUGUGAUCCCUUAUGGGCUUGCUGCGAGGGUGUGAAGACUAUCCCAGAGGGAAAAUAAAGUGGAAUCAGGAACAUCAAUGCUCAUAUAAAGAGUUCUGGAGACUGGAAAUCUGAAAUUGGAGUGCCAGCGUGGUUGGGUUCUGUGAAGCCCCCUUCCAGGUUAUGGACUGAGG